rnacentral:lncRNA from 1 species
GUAAUAACUCCUAUUUUUAAGCACCUACUAGGGCACUGUGUUGGGACUUUGUACAGAUCACCACAUUCAGUCUUCACACCAGCUUUCCAAAGUAAGCAGUACUAUUCCCAUUUUGCACAUGGUGAAAUUGAGGUCCGCAGAUGUUGAGGACACCACUCAAUAUCACACAACUGAUAACCAUUCUACUGAAGCUGGUUCCCUCCCUGGGAAAGGUUUUACAUGGAUCUCUCCUGGCCUGGUCCUGGGAUGACUCCCAACUAGUGGGGGGCCCAGAGAAGACGAAGAUGUGGGCACCCACCAGCGAAAGUUUCCUAAAGGGGUCCAAGGGCAGCGGGUGCAUUGCAGUGACACCUACUGACGUCGUAUUUCUUCCACUGCCUGAUUUCUGUUUUACGCACAGUAGACUCUAAGGAUUUAAGCCCUGGUUUAUUUUCCUAGGCCACUAAAAUACUUUCCAAUGACUUUUUUCAUUCUUAUUAAAAAACGGUUUUUAUUGAUUGCAGAAACAAAUGCAGAUAGGUAAAGAGAAGAAAAUAAAAAUGAUCUCAAACUGCCCCUCUGGAGAAAACCAAUGUUAACAUUUCGAGGUAUAUUCUUCCAAAUAUUUUUCUAUAAAUACAAAUAUAUACUGAAUAUUAAUACAUAUUAAAUGUAUAAUUGAAUAUUAUUAUAUGUAAGAAAAUAACAAAAUGAGCUCAUUAUAGAAUAUCUAGCACUUUGCAGCCUUCAAUAAGUAAUACAUGAUGGCAAUAAUGUAUGAAAUAGAAUGUAGAAUGCUCUUAAAUUGAUCUGUUUUGUAACUUGCUUUUUGCAUUCAGUAAUAUAUCAUGAAACUUUUCCAAGACCUUAAAUGUUCUUUUUGUAAUGGUUGCAUAGUAUUCCACUACAGAGAUGUACCAUCGUUUAUUUAAAGAAUUGUGCAUUGUUGGAAAUUUACUUUGCAUCUAUUUUUUGCAGUAUUAUAAACAACACUGCAAUGAAUAUCCUCUCAUCUAAAUAUAUGUGUGUAUUAUUU